AUAAUUUAAUAAUUAUUAGGUGUAUAAUGGAUCCCAAUAAGGUGGAUGGUCCGUCCUAAUUUUUAGGAAAUUAUUUUUACAUAUUUUAAGGGUUCUAAAAUUUUUGGGAACCAUUUUUUUAUUUUCUAGUUGUAUGUGUUCUCCUUAAUCAUGUGAUUUGGAGGGUAUCCUUUCAAGGCAUGGGUUUCUUGGUCAUCUGAAGAUCAACUAGUUAUUGAUGAUGUAAAACUAAUCAUUAUGCUCCCAAAUAUCACAUUCUUGUAUGCUCGGAUGUUUUACAUUCAUUAGUUUCUUAACUCUAAGUAUGAGUACAGUGGUACUGUUGGUUAAUUUUGCAAGAGAGAUUAGUUGUGUUCUUGACUUUAUUAUUGUUUGAUUGCAGGAAGAGAGAGCUAUCCAAUAUAUGAAGUUGUUGCCCUACAUGGAAAGAAAACAUUUCAAGCUAAAGUUACUAAAAGUCUGGGAAUGAGUUGAAACUGAGAUCCUGAAAGUAUUUCCUAAAUGAGAGGAUACACCAUUGAAACUAUUAUAGAUGGAAAACUUCUUCAUCCAUUAUGGUAGCUAUAAUAUGCUGCUCCCAGACAACCAAACAGAAUGACAUUGCUUCUAAGCCUUCCAAGCUCUGGAAAGACCACAUUACUACUGACUUUGGUGGGAAGACUUGGAAAAGACUUGAAAGUAAGGAAACUACAGACUUGUUUGCAUGUUUCUGUUGAUUUUUAACAUGAUAUUCUACAAUGGGAGCUUCUAAAAAUUCAAUUUUCAAGAAGAGCUACAUAUGAUGGACAUAUGAUGGAAGAGGUUGUGCCACAAAGGACAUCGGCUUACGUAAGUCUGCAUGAUCUGCAUAUUGGACAAAUCACUGAAAGGGAGACAUUGACUUUCUCAAUAAUAUGUCAAGGGGUCGAUCUUUGUUACGAGAAGUUGGCAGAACUAUGAAGAAGAGAAAGGACUGCAAAUAUCAAGCCACAUCCUGAUAUUGAUCUUUACACGCAGAUUUUGGGAGUUGAAGUAUGUGCUGACACCAUGGUGGGAGAUGAAAAGAUACGAGGCAUCUCUGGUGAGCAAAAGAAGAGAGUAACAUCAGGGAAAAUGCAGGUUGGACCGUCAAGAGCACUUUUGAUGAAUGAAAUAUCAACUAGGUUGGACAGUUCAACUACAUUCCAAAUUGUGAACUCACUUAGACAAUCCAUUCGUAUAUUCAAUGGAACUGCCAUUAUUCCAAAUUGCCAAUGAUCUAUGGGCAGAGUGCUAUGGCUGUGAAUUAAUUUCUGAGGAAGAGCAGGAGUCAUAUUUCUCCUAAGUCUACAGAAUCAUUAGGAGUUCAGGUUAAAAACAGUAGUGGGCUCUUCCCGCAAGCAUAUUGGUAUUCGAUUGGAGCAAGAGAUUUGAUUGACUAUGUAUUUCUUUCCAACUUCCUCUUAACUAUGGCUGUGAAUUAAUUUCUGAGGAAGAGUAGGAGUCAUAUUUCUCCUAAGUCUACAGAAUCAUUGUUCAGGUUAAAAGCAGUAGUGGGCUCUUCCCGCAAGCAUAUUGGUAUUCGAUUGGAGCAAGAGAUUUGAUUGACUAUGUAUUUCUUUCCAACUUCCUCUUAACUAUGGCUUUGAAGUAUCUUGAUAAUAAUCUUCCAUUGUAGAUUUCUCCUAAGUCUACAGAAUCAUUAGGAGUUCAGGUUAUAAACAGCCGUGUGCUCUUCCCAUAAGCAUAUCGACAUUUGAUUGGAGCAGGAGAUUUGAUUGACUAUGUAUUUCUUUCCAACUUCCUCUUAACUAUGGCUUUGAAGUAUCUUGAUCGAAAGCCCCAGGACAUUUGAUGAGGAAUGUAAUAGCAAAGAAAGGGAGUCAAUGGAGCUAACGUACAGGGGAAAAGUCUUUCUUGAAUGACAUUGCUUCUAAGCCUUCCAAGCUCUAGAAAGACCACAUUACUCCUGACUUUGGUUGGAAAACUUGGAAAAGACUUGAAAUUUUCAGGGAGAGCUACAUAUAAUGGACAUGGGAAGGAAGAGGUUGUGCCACAGAGGACAUCGGCUUACAUAAGUCAGCAUGAUCUGCAUAUUGGGGUUUUCCAACAGAUGUCAAGGUUUCGGUUUCCGUUACGAGAUGUUGGCAGAACUAUCAAGGAGAGAAAAAAUUGCAAAUAUCAAGCCACAUCCUGAUAUUGAUCUUUACACGCAGGCUAUAUCACGGGAAGGGCAGAAGACCAAUGUAGUUACAGACGAUGUUUUCAAGAUUUUGGGAGUUGAAGUAUGUGUUGACACCAUGGUGGGAGAUGAAAAGAUAUGAGACAUCUCUAGUGGGCAAAACAGAGAGUAACAACAGGGAAAAUGCAGGUUGGACCACCAAGAGCACUUUUCAUGAAUGAAAUAUCAAUUGGGUUGGAUUAGACAAUCCAUUUGUAUAUUCAAUGGAACUGCUAUUAUUCCAAAUUGCCAAUGAUCUAUGGGCAGAGUGCUAUGGCUGUGAAUUAAUUUCUGAGGAAGAGUUGGAGUCAUAUUCCUCCUAAGUCUACAGAAUCAUUAGGAGUUCAGGUUAUAAACAGUAGUGGGCUCUUCACACAAGCAUAUUGGUAUUCGAUUGGAGCAAGAGAUUUGAUUGACCAUGAAAGCCCCGGGACAUUUGAUGAGGAAUGUAGUAACAAAGAAAGGUAGCCAAUGGAGCUAACUCACAGGGGGAAAAGUCUUUCCUGAAUGACAUUGCUUCUAAGCCUUCCAAGCUAUGGAAAGACCACAUUACUACUGACUUUGGUUGGAAAACUUGGAAAGACUUGAAAUGUUCAGGGAGAGCUACAUAUAAUGGACAUGGGAUGGAAGAGGAUGUGCCACGGAGGACAUCGGCUUACGUAAGUCAGCAUGAUCUGCAUAUUGGACAAAUCACAAGAAGGGAGACAUUGGCUUUCUCAACAAGAUGUCAAGGGUUCGGUUUUCGUUAGAGAUGUUGGCAGAACUAUCAAGAAGAGAAAAGACUGCAAAUAUCAAGCCAGAUCCUGAUCUUGAUCUUUACAUGAAGGCUGGAAGGGCAGAAGACCAAUGUAGUUACAAACUAUGUUUUAAUAAUUAUUCAGAUUUUGGGACUUAAAGUAUGCACUGACACGAUGGUGGGAGGUGAAAAGAUAUGAGGCAUCUCUGGUUGGCAAAAGAAUGGAGUAACAACAGGGGAAAUGCUGGUUGGACCGGCAAAAACACUUUUGAUGGAUGAAAUAUUAACUAGAUUGAACAAUUCAACUACAUUCCAGAUUGUAAACUCACUUAGACAGUCUGUUCAUAUUUUCAAUGGAACUGUUGUUAUUCCAAAUUGCCAAUAGAAUGCCGCGGCUUGGAAUGAAUUUGUGAGGAAGAGUUGGAGUCAUAUUCCUCCUAAUUCUAUAGAACCAUUAGGAGUUCAAGGAGUUCAAGUUCUGAAGAGUCAUGGGCUCUUUCCACAACCAUAUUGGUCUUGGAAUGGAGCAAGAGAUUUGAUUGGCUAUGUAUUUCUUUCCAACAUCCUUUUAACAAUGGCUUUGAAGUAUCUUCAGACGUCGAGACAUUUGACGAGGAAUGUAGUAGCAAAGAAGGGGAGCUAAUGGAGCUAACACACAAGGGAAAAGUCUCUUCUGGCAAUAGUUAUUUUCAGAAGGUUUUUAUCGACGGGGGUUUAAUGACAUUCUUCCAUGUACCAAGAAGUCAUUACCAAUUAUUUGUGAUGUUAGUAGAAUCAUCAAACCUCGAAGGUUAAAAGGCCUUCCAAGCUCUAGAAAGACCACAUUACUAUUGACUUUGGCUGAAAACUUGGAAAAGACUUGAAAUUUUUAAGGAGAGUUACAUAUAAUGAACAUGGGAUGGAAGAGGUAGUGCCACAGAGGAAAUCGGCUUACAUAAUUCAGCAUGAUUUGCAGAUUGGAGAAAUGAGGGUAGGAGAGACAUUGGCUUCCUCAACAAGAUAUCAAGGGGUUGGUCCCCAUUAAGAUAAAGAUGUUGGCAAAACUAUCAAGAACAGGAAAGGUUGCAAAUGUCAGGCCAGAUCCUGAUAUUGAUCUUUAUAUCAGGAUCAAUAUAAAGCUUAUCAGGCUGCAUCAAUGGAAGCGCAUGAGAACAAAGUAGUCAUACAAUAUUCUCAAGAUUGUGGGACUUGAAGUAUGUGCUAACACAAUGGUGGGAGAUGAAAAGAUACGAGGCAUCUCUGUUGGGCAAAUGAAGAGAGUGAGAACAGGGGAAACAUAAAAAAAUUCAUUGUUAUUUAAACAAGCUUGGAUUUUCUCUUCGCUUAGUUUACUAGGUUAUUUUGGCACAGGGGAAAUGCUAGUUAGACCGGUGAGAGCAUUUUCCUUGAAUGAAAUAUUAACUGAGUUGGACAGUUCAACUACAUUCCAAAUUGUGAACACACUUAGAUAGUCCAUUCAUAUAUUCAAUGGAAUAGUCGUUAUUCCAAAUUGCCAAUGAUGUAUGGGCAACAUGCUGUGGCUUGGAAUGAAUUUCUAGGGAAGAGUUGUAGUUAUGUAAGUAGAAUUUUCUUAAUUUAAACUAUAGAUCAGAAGUUUAAGAAUUUGAGCUACUUCUUUCAAUAGUCUUUUGUUGCAGAUUCCUCCUAAUUUGACAGAAUCAUUAGGAGUUCAAGUUAUGAAGAGCUGUGGGCUCUUCCUACAACUAUAUUGGUCUUGGAUUAGAGUAAGAGAUUUGAUUGGCUAUGCAUUUCUUUCCAACAUCCUUUUAACAAUGGCUUUGAAGAAUCUUAAUAUUUUGGGAAAGCCUCAGAACAUUUGAUGAGGAAUGUGGCAGCAAAGAAAGGGAGCCAAUGAAGCUAAUACACAGGGAAAAAGUCUCUUUUGGCCUUGCAAGCUCUGGAAAGACCACAUUACUAUUGAUUUUGGCUGGAAAAACUAGAAAAGACAUGAAAAUUCAGUCUUUAGGGAGAGUUACAUAUAAUGGACAUGAGAUGGAAGAGAUUGUGCCACAGAGGACUUCAACUUACAUAAUUCAGCAUGAUUUGCAUAUUGAAGCAAUGACAGUAGGAGAGACAUUGGCUUUCUCAACAAGUUGUGAAGUGGUUGGUCUUGUGACGAUGUCGGCAAAUCAAUCAAGAAGAAGAAAGGUUGCAAAUGUCAAGCUAGGUCUUGAUAUUGAUCUUUACAUGAAGGCUACAUCACUGGAAGGGCAGGAGACCAAUGUAGUCCCAGAAUGUUCUUAAGGUUUUGGGACUUGAAGUAUGUGCUGACAGGAUGAUGGGAGAUGAAAAGAUGCGAGGCAUCUCUGGUGGGCAAAAGAAGAGAGUAACAACAGGUAGAAUGCCGCAACUUGGAAUGAAUUCUUGGGGAAGAGUUGGAGUCAUAUUCCUCCUAAUUCUACAGAACCAUUAGGAGUUGAAGUUAUGAAGAGCCGUGGGCUCUUUCCACAACCAUAUUGGUCUUGGAUUGGACUUUCCAAAUGGCUAUGUAUUUCUUUCCAAUAUCCCUUUAACAAUAGCUUUGAAACAUCUUAACAGUAAAUACUCCACACUUAUGAGCUUCAAGAAAUUCAUACAAUAAUUUAGUAAUUUGUUGUAGUUUUGGAAAGUCUCAGGGCAUUUGACGAGGAAUGUAGUAGCAAAGAAAGGGAGCUAAUGGAGCUAACACAUAGGCGAAAAGUCUCUUUUGAUAUGCCAUUUGGAUGAAAAAUCUGCCGACUUUUUGGUAUUUUUUCAAGUUGCUACAUUAAGUCUCAUGGGAAUUAUGCAAAAAGAGGAAGCGAAACUCGAAGAAGUGUAUCAUCCAUGACUGCCUUCCAAGCUCUGGAAAGACUAGUACUAUUAACUUUGGCUGGAAAACUUGAAAGUAAGUUUUUAGAAAGAGUUACAUAUAAUGGACAGAGGCUUUGCCACAGAGGACAUUGGCUUACAUAACUCAACAUGAUCUUCAUAUUGAAGAAAUGACGGUAGGAUAGACAUUGACUUUCUCAAUAAGAUAUCAAGGGUCGGUCCUCAUUAUAGUUUUUCAGGAAGUACUUGAUACUCGUGUGUUAUCCAGAUGGUGUCAUGACUAUUCCAAUGUAUCGGAGCCAUUGGCCAGAACAUAAUUGUUAAAAACAGAUUUGGUUCAUUUGCUUUACCAAUCAGUCUUGGUUCUGGGUGGAAUUGUCUUUAUCAAGAGUCAUGUGAAAAGCUGGUUGCUGUUAUUGGUUCUCUCCAAUGAUUUAUGGGCAGAAUGCUAGGGCUGUGAAUGAAUUUCUUGGGAAGAGUUGGUGUCCUAACCAUUAGGAGUUCAGGUUAUAAAGAGUCGUGGGCUCUUGCCACAAGCACAUUGGUAUUGGAUUGGAGUAGGAGGUUUGACUGACUAUGUAUUUCAUUUCAACUUCCUUUUUACAAUGGCUUUAAAGUAUUUUGAUACAUUUGGAAAGCCUCAGGCAAAUUAUAACCCAAGAGGCAUUUGAUGAGGAAUGUAGUAGUAACGAAGGGGAGCAAAUGGAGCUAAAACACAGGGUAAAAGUCUCUUAUGGUAUGUCAUUUAGCUGAAAGAUUUAUCGACUUUGUGGUAAAAAAAUUGUUCUGUGAAGUCCCAUGAGAAUGAUGCAGAAAGAGGAAAUGAAAGUCAAAAAAAUAUAUAGUCUA